rnacentral:misc_RNA from 1 species
AGAGAGAGAGAGAGAGAGAACUAGUAGUUUGGUGGGAUAUACGAUGAUGGGGUAAGGUGGGGCUUACGAAAAUGGAUGCACACCAAGAGAAGAUGAUUGGAUAGACAUAGUUCAUCGUUUGGAUAUUUUUGCCAACUUGGGUUAUAAACAAAAGAAAUGAAAUGCAGGGUGCAAUUACAAAUCUCUCUAUAAUCCUUCCCUACCUUUCUCUAGAAGGCUU